rnacentral:misc_RNA from 1 species
AAAUAUUAAAAGCAUCGAACAUCUUGAACCUCUCCUCAACGAUAAGAGAAAAUCCGAAAUCUACUCACAUUGCCCAUCCAUUCCCAUCUUCCUUCCUCACAUCCACAUCUUCACGUCUUUUACAUUUUCACAUCCAUAUGAGCUUCUUCUUUUAGUCCACACAUCUUCACUCCCUCUCUAAACACACAUCACUCUCUUUCUCCCUCCAUCUCUCCCAAUUAUGGCCUCUGCUACAGCACCCACUACCCUUUCUCUUCUUAAAACCACAGCUUCUUCCUUCUCCAACACCCGCCUUCGUGCUUCCCUUCUUCCAGUUUCCUCUACCGGCCUCCGCUCCACCAGUCUUCGCCGCCUCGGCUUCGCUGCUGCUGACCCUCUUUUUAGUCACCAUGUUGCAUCCAAAAUCCAAUCAUUUGGGUCCGGUAAGGCCUCGAGGGCAGUGGUGUCCAUGGCCAAGAAGAGUGUUGGAGAGCUGACAGCUACGGAUUUGAAGGGAAAGAAGGUCUUUGUGAGGGCUGAUUUGAAUGUGCCUUUGGAUGACAACCAAAAAAUCACUGAUGACACUAGAAUUAGAGCUGCAAUCCCCACGAUUAAGCAUUUGAUCCAAAAUGGAGCUAAAGUACUUCUUUCUAGUCAUUUGGGACGGCCAAAAGGUGUUACUCCAAAGUUCAGCUUGGCUCCUCUUGUACCCCGUUUAUCAGAACUCCUUGGCAUUCAGGUAUAUCUUCUAAAAAAAUUACACUAAGAAUAAAGCAAUAAUGGAAAUCUGUACCAAUUUAUGUUAAUUGAGCAGGUUGUGAAGGCUGAUGAUUGCAUAGGCCCAGAAGUAGAAAAAUUGGUGGCUUCACUUCCUGAAGGUGGUGUUCUUCUCCUUGAAAAUGUGAGGUUUCACAAGGAGGAAGAAAAGAAUGAACCUGAAUUUGCAAAGAAGCUUGCUUCUCUAGCAGAUCUCUAUGUCAAUGAUGCAUUUGGGACUGCACAUAGAGCACAUGCCUCAACUGAAGGAGUCACAAAAUACUUAAAACCAUCUGUUGCUGGGUUCCUCUUGCAGAAGGAGCUGGACUACCUUGUUGGGGCAGUUUCAAACCCAAAGAGGCCAUUUGCUGCCAUUGUAGGUGGUUCAAAGGUCUCAUCCAAGAUUGGAGUUAUUGAAUCACUCCUUGAGAAGUGUGAUAUCUUGCUUUUGGGUGGAGGAAUGAUCUUCACAUUUUACAAGGCACAAGGCCUCUCAGUGGGCUCAUCCUUGGUUGAGGAAGAUAAGCUUAAUUUGGCAACAUCACUCCUUGACAAGGCCAAGUCAAAAGGAGUGUCUCUUUUGUUACCCACUGAUGUGGUAAUUGCAGAUAAGUUUGCUCCGGAUGCGAACAGUAAGAUAGUGCCAGCAUCAGCCAUUCCUGAUGGCUGGAUGGGAUUGGAUAUUGGACCAGAAUCUAUUAAGACAUUCAGUGAUGCUUUGGAAACUACCAAAACUGUCAUCUGGAAUGGACCAAUGGGAGUGUUUGAAUUUGACAAGUUCGCAGUUGGAACAGAGGCUAUUGCAAAGAAGCUAGCAGAGCUUAGUGGCAAGGGAGUCACAACAAUUAUUGGAGGUGGAGAUUCUGUUGCAGCUGUAGAAAAAGUAGGAGUUGCUGAUGUUAUGAGCCACAUAUCAACUGGUGGUGGUGCCAGUUUGGAGUUGUUGGAAGGCAAAGAACUUCCAGGUGUUCUUGCUCUUGAUGAAGCCACACCAGUUGCUGUGUAAGAUUAAUCUAAUUUUUCCCCCUCAUCCCUGUGUCAGUGCUUUUAUCGUGCUUCAUAAAGGAGAAAGGGUUGUUGUAGAAAGAUAUGAGCUCAUGUUGUAAAUUUUUCUCUUUGUUUCUUUAUGCUAAAAUUGCUAAAAUAGACAGCAAGGAUGAGCAAAGAGAGCCAUCCAAGAUUUUAAUAUAUGGUUCAUUUUUAUCAGUUGUUUUAUUUAGAGCUUCUAUAAUGAAUUGAUGUGUAUGAAAUUGAGAACAAAAAUUGAUAAAGGGCGGAAAAACCUCAAUUUGUUUUUCUUUUCUUCCUUAUAUUAAUAAAUUCUAGUUUUGAUGCUGAAAUCAUCGAUUGAUUCCAUACAAUUGUUUUCAGUUAAUAUUUUGGUUUCUUGUUUGAAAUAUCCACAUUCCACAACACAGAUGUCUCUCACAUGGCAGCAAAGGUUUUCAAAGCCAACCGGUUUGAAUAUCCAGAGAGUGAGAACAGCACAAGAAUAUAGAUCACUCCCUUUGAUUGCAAAUCUGCCGUUUGAAGCAUUUCAGUAUGCCCAAAAUGUCCAAUCAUGCGGUUGAAAUGUAUUGUGCAUAUAUGACAAGGGGUUAACAAAUUGAAAAUGGUGGAGGUGGUAGCUGUAGCGCUCUUAUGUGAUCUCCUCCCCAGUCUGUCGCAAUGAUGCCAAAGACGGUGGAAAGUAACCUACGCAACAAACUGUGUCACAGAAUCACCUUACUUUCAGAGCACAUGAUACUUUCUUCGUUGGACCACUUUUUGUAUACAGUAACACAGCAUAGAACUUCUGUUAAAAAAUACUCUAAAAUUAUUUAAAAUAUUAUAAAUAUAUCAGAUUGGCAUGAGAAAAUAUGUUUUUAAAAUCGUUUGAAAAAGAAAUCUUGAUGUGUAUUAAUUGAUAUGAUAGAAAUAAAAAACAGAAAAAAAAUCAUAGAAGGGCACCAUCCUUUUUUCUUCAAUCUAUUCGUAAGUGGAAUAUAUGUUUUGUCUGUUUCAAAAUUCAACUCUCUUUGUUGCUACGACUAAGUCCUGGAUUAUGAAGUUCGAUGGAAAUCAUUCGUCUUUGUGCAAGGGAAAAAAAACAAAUAAAUAUAAAUAAUAAUUUAAAGAAAAUAGAUUCAAUAUUAUACAUAAAAACAGAACUUGAAGAUGAUAGCUAAUUAUUUAUGAUUUAGAAUAAAACAUCUCACAGUAGCCUAAAUAUGCCCUGGAUUAUAUAGGAAAAAGGCAAACACACCAGGAGGCCGUAAGCCCCGUUCUGUUAGAACCCUAGAGCGGGCUAAGUGAAUAACUGUGAAGCAACGGCCACUGUGACUCAAGUAUAGAAUUCGAGGGCUCCAAACUUGUCUCAGCCCCUCGCCAAUUGCGAUCGAAUUCCAUGCCUAAGUUUUCCCGAUUCCCGGACUGCAUCUCUGCAGGAAGGGCCCGGGGACUUUCCUGGGUACAAGCAGAGGCACCCAACCACCACCUCCUGGUGAAGUGCCUUUAAUGCCCUUGGUGGAGACUUAUAAAGUUAAUAUGCUAUUGCUCCCAGCCGAUGUGGGAUGCAAAACUUGCCAUUUCCCUGGCGCCUCGUCAUGAUACCCAGUUGGCGCAUCAACCAUGAUCAAGUCCCAUUCUAUAUCAUACACAUCGCUAGGGAACCCCUUGAGUGCGAGUUGACAUUUGGAGAAUCUUGGAUCACUCACCACUUUGCAUUCUUCUCCCAUUCCAGUCUCCAUCAGCCCAUCUGCUUGAUGCACUUUGGUGUCGUAGCUCACAUGGUAGGAUUCUAAACUGGGUAUUUUCUCCUUGAUCUGCUCGAUCCAGGACGUGUCUUCUUCAAGGAAAACUGUGCGGCCACCAUGGUUUAGAGAUGUCCACAUCAAGCUGUCAUGGCCAAGGCCAAAGACUAGGAAGUUGCAGGGUGAUUUUUUCUCGAGAACUCUUAAGGUUACAGAGAUUUCUUUCAGGGUUUGUUGAGGAGUUAUGUUUGUAGUUGCGUAAUGGACGAGAGCAUUAGCCAAAGAAGGUGGGGUUUUGGUGCAUGUUGGGUUUAAGGGAAGAGAUGGACAGGAAGAGGAAGAGGAAGAGGAAGUAACAAUUAUAGGAAGGAUAGAGCCAUGAAUAAGCACUUUUCUGGAGUGACUGGUUUUUAGGUGUCUCUUGGGAAUUUCCAUGUUCUUAGAAAGAUAAUUUAUGAAGAAAUAUUUUUACAAAUGCCAAAGAUUGUUAGGUUGAGAUAUCAAUAAAACUUUAUAGGUUUGGAUGCUUUCUAAGCAGUCAAUCGGAACAAUCAUUUCUGGAGUUGAGUUUAAUUAGGAAGGGCUAUUCCCACUAGUAGUUCAAGGCUCAGAAGAUCUCUAGAAGGCAGUGAAGAAGAUGGGUGCGGUUACUAUUUUCUCCACCCCUUUGUUUCCCGUACAUUGGAAAUGAUACCUUUUGUUUUCGGAAGUUUGUUUGGUAGAUUACAUUUCGGUUGGCAGAAGUAUAGAUUUUUCCCCGAAGCAUUACAAGUUUUGAUGUGAUA